rnacentral:sRNA from 1 species
UACUACGCGGAGCUCGCGGCCCUCCUGGA